CACAUACACUGAAAACCAGAGGGCUACGAAAAUGUUCACUUAAAAAGCUACAAACGCGAAUUAACACUUCUGAGCUAAAAGCGUUUUUUUUUAAAUAAGAUCAGAUCAACAAGUGAUCUUGAAUCUUAGCUUUAGCAUCAUCGCGUUAGCAUCCCGGGUCACUGUGCUAACAUCGCAUCCUGGAGCAUCAAUUCACGUUUCUUACUCUUUUGCAUCACUUCGUUCAAAAUCAUCAUCACGCUCACGCCAUUCCCUCAUCCGUUAAAAAUUCAAAAGUUCACAAAUUCCAUUGGCUCUGAUAUCGUAUGUACGCAAACAGAAGGGGAAAAUGUCGAAAUCGGAUCGAAAAAACUCACUGGAUUGAAGCUCCGAUUACGAACAGAUACAAUAUGGGAGCCACUCGGUUGAGAUGUCCAACACACCCCAUCAUGUGAAGAGAUUAGAUGCAAAUGGCCCAAGCGGUUCAGUGGUUGCUCCUCUAAGGCUUUCCAUCGAUUCAACAAUGCCUAACAUAUUAUGUGUAUUCAAUUUCUGUCUCCUAGGAACUCUCGCUUUAAGUGAAUGUAAUGAUGACGAUAAUGGUUUUGAAAUCUAAAUGAGCAAGAGGAUCUCAAUCUUCAAGCAUAGGCAUCUUGAAAAACACAUCAUAACCUUUGAAAGCCUUGGAGAAUCAUUUCUGACUUUCCAUUGGUUGGAAUUGAAUUGACUUUGGGAUGCCUUUGGAUUACGUUGAAAUGCAAUGGAUUUAAUGCUACUCUAUUAUGAUUAUUGCAGGCUGGAUGUUAUCAUGGAGCUAUUGUGGUUUGGAAUAUGAUCAUAGGCCAUGUGAAUUUGGAUUGUAAUUUUUGUAAUUUGAAAUUGGAUCAUGUUGUAAUUUUUGUAAUUUAAGAUUGAAAUAUGAAUGUUGGUUUGUUGUAUUUGAAUUUGUGAAUGAAAUGUGAAAUUGAAUGGAACAAUUUGAAUUGAA